rnacentral:lncRNA from 1 species
AAAUCACGUGCACUGAACAAAUUGUUCAAUUUCGGACAGGCUUUUACAAAGGACUAACAGAGGUAACAUCUGAUUUUUUGUUUGUAACAUAUUCUCCGGUAAUAAAUGCCAAGCAUAACGACAUGGCAACAGUUAAAUUUACAUCCACGAAACAAUGUUAAGAUAUGUGAAAACAUGCCGGUCACCAAUAUGUUGUGCAAACAUUUGAGCAGCAAUUGUAUGAUGUUGCCCAACAAGUGAGAUGGUGUAUGCCAGACAUAGUCUUCAAUCAAACAUUAUGAGACUUGGAGGAAGUCAUGGUCUUCCCUAUUUUAUAGCAAUAGUUUGCAAGUUUUGAGCUUCAUCUGGGCUGUACAACCUUCUUGAAAUG